UAUACUUACGGUAAACAAACUAAGCACCAGAGAAUUACGAGCCAAAAGCUUAAAACUCAAAGGACUUGGCGGUUUUCCAAAUCUUCCUGGAGGAGCUUGCCAUUAAAUCGAUAAUCCACGAAAUACCUCACCACUCCUUGUAAUAAACAGCUUGUAUACCAUCGUCGUAAGUCUACUUCCCGAGAAAGUUGACUUUAAGGAGGACCCCCAGACGUCAGAUCAAGGUGCAGCCAAUGGAGCGGCAAUCGGUGAGCUACAAUGUCUGAUAAAGCCAGUGGAAGUAGGAAUGAAAAACCUUGCCGAAAUUGGAUUCAGUAGUAGUGCCCCAAAAGAAAAAGAGCACGAAAAGAGCUCUGGAAUGCGUACACAUCGCCCGUCACUCUCGCCUAGCUUACAAUUAAGCAAGGGGAGAAAAGUCGUAACACAAUAGGCUCACCGGAAGGUGAGCCUGGAGAAUGCCCCUAUAGUUG
rnacentral:rRNA from 1 species